GAUGAACGCUGGCGGCGUGCCUAAUACAUGCCAGUCGAGCGAACAGAUGAGGAGCUUGCUCCUCUGACGUUAGCGGCGGACGGGUGAGUAACACGUGGAUAACCUACCUAUAAGACUGGGAUAACUUCGGGAAACCGGAGCUAAUACCGGAUAAUAUAUUGAACCGCAGGGUUCAAUAGUGAAAGACGGUGUUGCUGUCACGUAUAGAUGGAUCCGCGCCGUAUUAGCUAGUUGGUAAGGUAACGGCUUACCAAGGCAACGAUGCGUAGCCGACCUGAGAGGGUGGUAGCCCACCUUGGAACUGAGACACGGUCCAGACUCCUACGGGAGGCAGCAGUCGGGAAUCUUCCGCAAUGGGGGAAAGCAUGACGGAGCAACGCCGAGUGAGUGAUGAAGGUCUUCGGAUCGUAAAACUCUGUUAUUAGGGAAGAACAAAUGUGUAAGUAACUAUGCACGUCUUGACGGUACCUAAUAAGAAAGCAACGGCUAACUACGUG
rnacentral:rRNA from 1 species